UACGAAGGGGGCUAGCGUUGUUCGGAAUUACUGGGCGUAAAGCGUGCGCAGGCGGCCAUCCAAGUCAGUGGUGAAAGCCCGGAGCUCAACUCCGGAACUGCCAUUGAAACUGUAAGACUUGAGGAUGAGAGAGGUGAGUGGAAUUCCCAGUGUAGAGGUGAAAUUCGUAGAUAUCAGGAAGAACACCCGUGGCGAAGGCGGCUCUCUGGAACGCAACUGACGCUGAGACGCGAAAGCGUGGGGAGCAAACAGG
rnacentral:rRNA from 1 species